GCGAGCGGCGGAUGGGUGAGUAACACGUGGGGAACCUGCCCCUAAGUCUGGGAUACCAUUUGGAAACAGGUGCUAAUACCGGAUAAUAAAGCAGAUCGCAUGAUCAGCUUUUGAAAGGCGGCGUAAGCUGUCGCUAAGGGAUGGCCCCGCGGUGCAUUAGCUAGUUGGUAAGGUAACGGCUUACCAAGGCGACGAUGCAUAGCCGAGUUGAGAGACUGAUCGGCCACAUUGGGACUGAGACACGGCCCAAACUCCUACGGGAGGCAGCAGUAGGGAAUCUUCCACAAUGGACGCAAGUCUGAUGGAGCAACGCCGCGUGAGUGAAGAAGGUUUUCGGAUCGUAAAGCUCUGUUGUUGGUGAAGAAGGAUAGAGGUAGUAACUGGCCUUUAUUUGACGGUAAUCAACCAGAAAGUCACGGCUAACUACGUGCCAGCAGCCGCGGUAAUACGUAGGUGGCAAGCGUUGUCCGGAUUUAUUGGGCGUAAAGCGAGCGCAGGCGGAAAAAUAAGUCUAAUGUGAAAGCCCUCGGCUUAACCGAGGAACUGCAUCGGAAACUGUUUUUCUUGAGUGCAGAAGAGGAGAGUGGAACUCCAUGUGUAGCGGGUGGAAUGCGUAGAUAUAUGGAAGAACACCAGUGGCGAAAGGCGGCUCUCUGGUCUGCAACUGACGCUGAGGCUCGAAAGC
rnacentral:rRNA from 1 species